AGUGGCGAACGGGUGAGUAAAGUAUCGGAACGUGCCCAGUCGUGGGGGAUAACGUAGCGAAAGUUACGCUAAUACCGCAUACGAUCUAUGGAUGAAAGCGGGGGAUCGCAAGACCUCGCGCGAUUGGAGCGGCCGAUAUCAGAUUAGGUAGUUGGUGGGGUAAAGGCUCACCAAGCCGACGAUCUGUAGCUGGUCUGAGAGGACGACCAGCCACACUGGGACUGAGACACGGCCCACACUCCUACGGGAGGCAGCAGUGGGGAAUUUUGGACAAUGGGCGCAAGCCUGAUCCAGCCAUGCCGCGUGCAGGAUGAAGGCCUUCGGGUUGUAAACUGCUUUUGUACGGAACGAAAAGGUUUGGCCUAAUAAGCUGAGCUCAUGACGGUACCGUAAGAGUAAGCACCGGCUAACUACGUGCCAGCAGCCGCGGUAAUACGUAGGGUGCGAGCGUUAAUCGGAAUUACUGGGCGUAAAGCGUGCGCAGGCGGUUAUGUAAGACAGAUGUGAACUCCCCGGGCUCAACCUGGGAACUGCAUUAGUGACUGCAUAGCUGGAGUACGGCAGAGGGGGAUGGAAUUCUGCGUGUAGCAGUGAAAUGCGUAGAUAUGCGGAGGAACACCGAUGGCGAGCGCACUCCCCCUGGCCUGUACUGACGCUCAUGCACGAAGCGUGGG
rnacentral:rRNA from 1 species